AGUCGAGCGGAACGACACUAACAAUCCUUCGGGUGCGUUAAUGGGCGUCGAGCGGCGGACGGGUGAGUAAUGCCUAGGAAAUUCGCCUUGAUGUGGGGGAUAACCAUUGGAAACGAUGGCUAAUACCGCAUAAUGCCUACGGGCCAAAGAGGGGGACCUUCGGGCCUCUCGCGUCAAGAUAUGCCUAGGUGGGAUUAGCUAGUUGGUGAGGUAAUGGCUCACCAAGGCGACGAUCCCUAGCUGGUCUGAGAGGAUGAUCAGCCACACUGGAACUGAGACACGGUCCAGACUCCUACGGGAGGCAGCAGUGGGGAAUAUUGCACAAUGGGCGAAAGCCUGAUGCAGCCAUGCCGCGUGUAUGAAGAAGGCCUUCGGGUUGUAAAGUACUUUCAGUUGUGAGGAAGGGGGUAGCGUUAAUAGCGCUAUCUCUUGACGUUAGCAACAGAAGAAGCACCGGCUAACUCCGUGCCAGCAGCCGCGGUAAUACGGAGGGUGCGAGCGUUAAUCGGAAUUACUGGGCGUAAAGCGCAUGCAGGUGGUUCAUUAAGUCAGAUGUGAAAAGCCCGGGGCUCAACCUCGGAACUGCAUUUGAAACUGGUGAACUAGAGUACUGUAGA
rnacentral:rRNA from 1 species